rnacentral:lncRNA from 1 species
AUUACUAGAUGAGCCCCUUCUUUGGGUUUUAUCUUUUCUCAGUGUCUUCAGUGGUGCAACUGGACAGUGGUUGUUGUUGCUUCAGGACAUUAUUUGAGCUAUAGUGAAUAGUAACACAAAUCAUAACCUCAUUCUCAAUUUUCUGUCUCUGUACUCAGAAACAUCUCUUGCUGCAUACAUGGCCUAUCUUUACAAUGUUCUGUUUUGCCAUAAGUAGAAUAUAUUUCAGGUUCUUUGGAGCUGUGAGAAAAAACCCUUCUGGGCCUCUCCAGGCAAGCUUGUGAUCAUGGAGGUAAAGUCCGAAGAGGAAGAGGGGUGAAGGAGGACCCAAAGACCAUUGGGAAGGCCCAAAGUGGGAACUGUGGGAUUGCUCCACGCAGUUCCUAUACUUGAGGUCUGCAAGGGAUGGGAAGAGAGAGAGCCCAGCAGAUGCUGAGUCCUCAGGAGGAGAGACCAAUGACUAAUAAAUCAGGUGGUUCUUCCUUCAGUAUAUAUCACAUACUGGGAUCAAUAAGAAGCAGAAGAAAAAAGUUCUUUUGUUUACAUGAGGGUUCCACAGGGAAGCCGCUCAGUUCUCCAGUGCACUGAACAACAUCAACCCUUAGGCUGAUUUCUCCAGCCCAACCUCCAAUACUUAAAACAAACCAUGAAAGAAUCAGAGACUAAUUCACAGCAUAGCCAACAACUGCAUUACAACAGAGAAACCUCAACCAGCAACUGAAGUUAUUCUUUUGCCAAAGGAACAGGCAACUGCUAGCCACGUAAAAUUAGCACAUCACCUAGAGAAAACUGUUUCAGAAAGCAGUACGUUUCAACCUCUGGUUCACGGCUCAUAGUAAGUUCUUUAGUUGCUAUGUUUUUCUCUGCCUACUUCUAUCUGUAAUGAAUCUACCGCACAAAUCUGAAACUCCUAUGCAUAGAAGCACCCAACACAGGGAAGCAGAUGUAAUUAAACUUCCAAAGACUGGUCACAUUUUCAGUUGGUUGCAGCAAGUGGAGAUGCCAACGCCAGACAAAAUGGUCUUGGAAUAAAGGUCGAGCGCCUCCUCA